GGUCCCGUAGCUCAGUUGGUUAGAGCGUGGCUCUUAUGAGUUGAAGGUCGCGUGUUCGAGUCUCACCGAGACCA
rnacentral:tRNA from 1 species